GUGCUGCCUUUUCAGUAAGAUGUGCAGU
rnacentral:piRNA from 1 species